GCCGCCUUAGCUCAGUUGGUAGAGCACAACUUUCGUAAAGUUGGGGUCCGCGGUUCGAUUCCGCGAGGCGGCU
rfam:Candidatus Kaiserbacteria bacterium RIFCSPHIGHO2_02_FTLL_49_16 rifcsphigho2_02_scaffold_5395, whole genome shotgun sequence.